rnacentral:tRNA from 1 species
GGAGAGGUGGCAGAGUCUGGUUGAUCGCGCCGCACUCGAAAUGCGGUUUAGCUUCGGCUAACGGGGGUUCGAAUCCCUCCCUCUCCGCAA